rnacentral:rRNA from 1 species
AGUGAACGCUGGCGGUAGGCCUAACACAUGCAAGUCGAACGGCAGCACAGGAGAGCUUGCUCUCUGGGUGGCGAGUGGCGGACGGGUGAGGAAUACAUCGGAAUCUACUCUGUCGUGGGGGAUAACGUAGGGAAACUUACGCUAAUACCGCAUACGACCUACGGGUGAAAGCAGGGGACCUUCGGGCCUUGCGCGAUUGAAUGAGCCGAUGUCGGAUUCGCUAGUUGGCGGGGUAAAGGCCCACCAAGGCGACGAUCCGUAGCUGGUCUGAGAGGAUGAUCAGCCACACUGGAACUGAGACACGGGCCAGACUCGUACGGGAGGCAGCAGUGGGGAAUAUUGGACGAUGGGCGCAAGCCUGAUCCAGCCAUACCGCGUGGGUGAAGAAGGCCUUCGGGUUGUAAAGCCCUUUUGUUGGGAAAGAAAUCCAGCUGGCUAAUACCCGGUUGGGAUGACGGUACCCAAAGAAUAAGCACCGGCUAACUUCGUGCCAGCCGCCGCAGUAA